rnacentral:misc_RNA from 1 species
GAAGGUAUAUCCAGUGAAAUGUACCAAAAGAUUCUUAUAUACAAUAAGGGCGCAAAUCUGAAGCUUAUUUGCCAUAGGAUCUGCAAAUACAACAUAAGCCAAGUUCACCAGAACCCUACAAAAAUUCUAGAUAAUCACGGAGUCUUCAAACUUCCAGUCAUAGCAGCUAUCUUGAUCAACCAAGGCUAGUAAUCAGCCACAAGUUGUUUGGAAAUAAUCACCAUCCUUUCCUUGCUCUGUUUCUU